UUAAUGUUUUGGUGUCCUUCAUACACAGGAAAUUCAGCAAAUGAGAACUGAAGACACCUGUAUUCCAUGUCAGCAGAUACAUUUUCUUUGUUUAUCUUUUCAGGAUUCAGAUGUAGUAUCUGUGAGAAGGUACUAAAAUGUAAAGGUGGAUAUACUGUUCAUCAGCAAAUGCACUGGAAGUCUAAAGAAACGGAGACCAUUCAGGCAUUUCUACAGAUUUCCAAGCAUGAAUGCUCUUAUGUUCAGCUGAGAACAAAAAUGAUGAACAAGCAGAAAAUACAGCAGCAAAGGACAAGGAAGAGAUGGCACACAUUUUAAGAAUAAGAUUAACUUAAAAAAUAUUCAGAUCAUUUCUAAGGGAUGUUACAUUUGGGAAUUCACUUUCCCAGUAUACCCGACACUAGUACUUUGCUGGUAGAGGGUGGAGUGAAUCCAUUGUGUGAUUUGAACCCACCCUCUCAGAGUGAAACACCUUAUCACAGAAGAACAUAGUCAGCAAUUUAACCUGACAAAUGUUAGUCAAGGUCUGGUUCAGAGAAGUGUAAAUGCCACAAUUACAAUUUUUUGCAAAGUUAUGCAAAUAAGAAUGUCAAAGCUCUUUGGUUUAAUAAAUAGUAAUUAUUAAACUUA